UGCAAUAUUGUAUAUUCCGAUAUAGAACAAGGCUCUGUAUUAAACAAAGGGAUCGGUGGAAAGGCCUAGAUUUAAAAAGGGUCUUCAAUACUUCUUUCUGGGCUCCUCAUGCAGAAAAUCAUUGGCUGCCAGAAAGGUGGAUCCCUGACAUUUGUUCUCUUUAAAACAAGAAUUAAGAUACAUGUGUUGGAAGAAUUUACUGAAGUCACCCAAAGUCAAGCUUUGUUGUCCAGAUAUCCAAAAUCUCUGUAUGGUAUUCACUGCUGAGGAUAACCCGAUCUCAGGAAGACUGAAGUGUCUGUAUUAGCUAGCUGUUAUUGUUCAAGUCAAUCCCAUCCUGUGUCAAGAAUUGUCAGCAAAGUUCAAACUCCAGAGGAAGAGCACACACCUCAGGCAGUAUGCGAGAAAAGCAACGCUGCGUUCCUGUAAUUGUUCGUGAAACUUCCAAACAGGAGGGUUUGACUGGGCCGUAUAUCCAGCUCUUUCCUCUCACAAUGAUCUACUGCUCGAACUCCCCCUUUGGUCUCUCCCUGUUUGUCGCCCUGGCUGCUCUAUGGCUUGGUUCUACUUGUUGUGGAAGCAUUUUGAAAUCAUUACGCCUUUGUUUUCUGAGAAGCAAGAUUUAUAGGGAAGGUAAUAUCCUUUAUUAGACUGUUUGGUUCAUUUGGAAAAAAUGGGCAUUCUUGUGGGGUCAGAGUCCCUUCAUUACACUUGUUUUCUGCCUGCUUGGUUUUUCCAUGUCUGAAAGCACUGCUUAGAGAAAGCAGACCUGCUCAUUUUGUUCUUUUUGGUUGCUACAUUUUCUUCCAGAGUAAUAGAGAGAACACAUGUACUUGUGUUAUUUUGUGGAGAAUUGUGUUCUUUUGCGGA